UACGGAGGGGGCUAGCGUUGUUCGGAAAUACUGGGCGUAAAGCGCACGUAGGCGGCGCAGCAAGUCAGGGGUGAAAUCCCGGGGCUCAACCCCGGAACUGCCCUUGAAACUGCAGUGCUAGAAUCUUGGAGAGGCGAGUGGAAUUCCGAGUGUAGAGGUGAAAUUCGUAGAUAUUCGGAAGAACACCAGUGGCGAAGGCGACUCGCUGGACAAGUAUUGACGCUGAGGUGCGAAAGCGUGGGGAGCAAACAGG
rnacentral:rRNA from 1 species